rnacentral:lncRNA from 1 species
UCAACUCUGUUACAAACAUUUGAAAGUAUUUAAAUUUACAAGAGUUUGUUAUUUUCUGGGUUUGCUUCCGUGAUCUUCAUCUUCUCGUUUGUUUUGAACUUGAACUUUAUCUAUUUGUUAAGAUUCUUUAUCUGGUUGUUGAGGUUUGUUUUGAACUUGAACUUUAUCUAUUUGUUAAGAUUCUUUAUCUGGUUGUUGAGGUUUAUCCGUUUGUUGAGAGUCAGUUGUGCCAUACCACCCUCUCAAUUGCAAUGGGAGCUCAUGAUCAUUGAGAUUGUCUCAGAGAUUGCAGAACCGUGCAGUUGGGAGUGCUUUGGUGGAUGAAUCAGCUAUCUGAUCUAUGCUUGAGAUGAACCGAACCUGGAGUUGACGUUAGGCAACCUGAUCACGCACGAAGUGAAUAUCCAGUUCGAUGUGCUUCGGGCGUGAUCAGUGAUAGAAAGGAUUGGCCGUUAGGUACAUGGCUCCUAUAUUGUCGCACUAGAGUGUAGGUGGAUUUGGACUCGAGAUUGGUAUCAAG